rnacentral:rRNA from 1 species
AAAUGAAUAGACGGGGAGGCGCACAACCAGUGGAGCAUGUGGUUUAAUUCGAUACAAAGCGAAGAACCUUACCUGGGUUUGACAUCCUUCCUUUUCCUGCUUUGGAAACAGAGCAAGGGGCUGUAUUUAUACAGCAAAGGUUGGACAGCUACUGCAUGGUUGUCGUCAGCUCGUGUCGUGAGAUGUUCCCUUAAGUGGGGUAACGAGCGCAACCCUUAUUCUGUGUUGGAUUUUCACAGAAGACUGCCCUGCCGUUGGUAGGGAGGAAGGUGGGGAUGACGUCAAAUCAGCAUGGUGCUUAUAUCCAGGGCGACACACAUCCUACAAUGAGAAGUAACAAUGGGCUGCCAAGCCGCAAGGCGGAGCUAAUCCCAUCAAACCUUCUCUCAGUGGGGAUUGCAGGCUGCAAUUCGCCUGCAUGAACUUGGAAUUGGUAGUAAUCGCGAAUCAGCAGGUCGCGGUGAAUACGUUCUCGCCUCUUGCACACACCGCCCGU